rnacentral:rRNA from 1 species
UACGUAGGGGGCAAGCGUUGUCCGGAAUCAUUGGGCGUAAAGAGCGUGUAGGCGGUCCGGUCAGUCGGUUGUGAAAGUCAAGGGCUCAACCCUUGAAUGCCGGCCGAUACUGCCGGGCUAGAGUCCGGAAGAGGUGAGUGGAAUUCCUGGUGUAGCGGUGAAAUGCGCAGAUAUCAGGAGGAACACCGAUGGCGAAGGCAGCUCACUGGGACGGUACUGACGCUGAUGCACGAAAGCUAGGGGAGCAAACAGG